rnacentral:rRNA from 1 species
AUUGAACGCUGGCGGCAGGCCUAACACAUGCAAGUCGAACGGUAACAGGAAGCAGCUUGCUGCUUUGCUGACGAGUGGCGGACGGGUGAGUAAUGUCUGGGAAACUGCCUGAUGGAGGGGGAUAACUACUGGAAACGGUAGCUAAUACCGCAUAACGUCGCAAGACCAAAGAGGGGGACCUUCGGGCCUCUUGCCAUCGGAUGUGCCCAGAUGGGAUUAGCUAGUAGGUGGGGUAACGGCUCACCUAGGCGACGAUCCCUAGCUGGUCUGAGAGGAUGACCAGCCACAUUGGAACUGAGACACGGUCCAGACUCCUACGGGAGGCAGCAGUGGGGAAUAUUGCACAAUGGGCGCAAGCCUGAUGCAGCCAUGCCGCGUGUAUGAAGAAGGCCUUCGGGUUGUAAAGUACUUUCAGCGGGGAGGAAGGGAGUAAAGUUAAUACCUUUGCUCAUUGACGUUACCCGCAGAAGAAGCACCGGCUAACUCCGUG